AACGUGAGCUGGCUGAUGUUGUAACCAGAUCUCAUUUUGGUUUGCAAUUUUAGUUUGGACAGAUUAUUUAAAGUCAGCUUUAUUGUUUCACCGUAAUGGCUAAUUAUUCAAAAUGGCGUUUUCUGUAGUUUAAGGAAAAUUCUUAGGUGCUUA